rnacentral:rRNA from 1 species
GGUAUUCCAAAAGGUACACCUGUUUGAGUG